rnacentral:lncRNA from 1 species
GAACCAACACAAGCAAACUCAAAAUCAACAAUGUCGACAAAGUCUAGCACUACUGUCCUUGCCUUUGCCUUUUGUUUCUUGUCCCUCCUCAGUUUCGCUUACUCCAACACCACCGACGACAAAAUCUACCUCACCGGCCUGGUCUACUGUGACAACUGCCAAUUGAAGUCUAUGACCGAGAUCAGUAAGAUGAUUCCAGGUACAUUACGUUAAUAAGUAGGUAACAAACUACAUAAAUGUGGAUUAUAAGAUUUGAAUAUGAGAUUUAUGCAUGCAUGCAUGCACAUUGCCCAUUGAUCAGGUGCAAGGGUGCGAUUGGAGUGUAGGGAGGGGGAGAACAUAAAAUCCAGACGAGAGGGCGAAACCAACCCGCUUGGAAUGUAUGUGUUUGUGUUGGAAAAAUCUAAGGAGCCUUUGGAUGAUUGUCAAGUGACAGUGCUACACAGCCCUGACCCUGAAUGCAAGAUUUCCCACGAGGUCGACCCUAACAACAAAUCGAAAACUGCGCCGGUGGCCACUCGGAAGCUCAACCUUUUGGAAGGAGACAGUGUCGUUUUCAUCGGACCAAGCCACCGCGUUUCCUACCCUCUUGGUUUGGUCGUUGAGAAAGCUCGUCCUGAGUGCGAGCAGUUCGACAAAGCACGCAAGCAUUUUCAGAACUAAUUUAAGGAAUUGAAGACGAAAUGAAGGCGAAAACCAUCUGGUAUUAAAUCAAUUUCCAAUUUCAGUGAAUUUUUCUUUUUGAUUGCAAAGCUAGAUAAAUUGUGGUUUAAGAAAUCAACAGUUACGAUUAUGACAUAUGCUCGGUUAUGAUUCGUGAAUUCACAACUAGUAUAAACAAGGAAGUGUAAUUAGAAGUGCACGCAAGUAUUAUAUCCGUGAAGAUAUUGCCAUGUCGAUUAAUCUAGUGUUUUUAUUUUUUACUUUAUUAAUUCUUAAUUAAGAUUCAAUUUAGGACCUGUUUAAAGAGAAGAAAAAUAUGAUUUAAAAUCUAUCUUAUGACUUGUAAUGGAUCACUUGUUCAUUUCCUUAAAAAAAUAAUUAAAUAAAUAAACUCGCAAUACCGACUCCAUUCGUAAUUCCAUCAAUUACUCGUCUAUCAAAAAAAUGAGUUAGUUCAGCUAAUCUUCUUAUACUGUUAGUAAAGGAUAAUGUGAAAUUAGCAAAAGAAUAAUGAUUAACGGCCCAAAACAUUGAAUUAUUGUGUGCCUAAGUCAGAAAAUCUUCCCCAUCUAGUAUACUAUGAGGAAAAGGACGGCUCACAACAAGUUUAUGUCUAUAAAAUCCCAGAUGCUCAUUGAAUGUCUUGUGCCCAUCAAAGAUUAAAUAUAUUUCCAUAGAAUACGUACCAAAUCAAGGCCAAUACCUCUGCUUAGCUUUUCUUUUCAUUUUCACCAUUUGCUCCUCUCAAGCAUCAUCUCGCCAAAUUCAUGAUGAGAAAACCAUGCACUACUACAAAAAGUAAAAAAGACGACCAGAAAACAACGACGGUCUAAGUGAAAACCGUCGUGAUUUUUAAAAAGACGACGGUUCUAAAAACACCGUCGUGUAAUACAACCUUAGACAACUAAAAAAUGGAGAUUCAAAUGCCUGUUCAAAAACAACGACGUACAUAAUUAAACAACCGACGUCUAUUUGAAACAGAUUUUCGCAGUGUAAAAUCAAUGCCAACAAAGAACGGCAGAAGUUAUGAAUCGACCGACGUAGAAAGUAAAGACGACGAUUUCAAUAAAAACCGCCGUUUUUACUCAUAAAAUAACACAACGAGGUUUUCGUAUAAGACGCCGUAUAAUUACAAACAAAUCCACGGCUUUAAAAUACAAAAUAUCGCCGUAUUAAAUUAAUGUACAACGACGGAAAAUAUAAAUAUAUGGACGUCAUUCUCGUAUAGUUCUACGACGUUAUCUUUAAAUCGUACAAUAAAAUUUAACGUCGUAUUUAUUCAUUUUAUACGUCGUACCUUUAAUUUUAACCGUCGUCUUAAUAAGAAUUUUUGUUAACAAUUUUUUUCUUUGAUUUUCUUAUCUACGUCGGUAGAUCUACUUAAUGACAAGAAUUGAAAUAACCACGACGGUUUAUAUAUAGAAAACCGCCGACAUAAUCAGAUUUGUCUGAGAUCCCAAGGGUUACGAAAUCUUACCAGAUGGAACUCUGUUCCACAUCAUAAUCUUAACAGAUGACACAGAUUUGCAAUCAGAGAGACAAUUUUUUGGAAGUUGAUGAUGUGUGUGCGUUUGUGUAUCUACAAAUAUUAUACCUAACGUCGUUGCAAAUUUGCAAUCAGAGAGACAAUUUUCAACGACGGUUAUAUUAUACCUAACGACGUUUAAAAAACAAAUCAACGUCACUAAACAAAUAUAUUACGUCGUCUUAGUCUUACUUAAGACGACGAAAAACGACGACAGUAAUAAAAAAACAAUCGUUGUUUUUAUAUUCUUAUUUUAUUUAAAUCUGUCCUCCAAAAAAGAAACUUUACAUAUUCCAGAACAUUAAUUUCCUUCAUUUUAAAUUUCCUCCGGAAAAAAAAAACUCUAUUUAUAACGCACUGUAAUUGAAAAAUAAACUGAAAGGUCACGGGAAAAAAAAUUCUAUUCAUAAUUUAAAAAUUCAAAUCCACGUCGGUUAUAUUAAACAUAACGACGUUAAAUGAAAAGAUUCCACGUCGCAAAACAAAUAUUGCGUCGUGUUAGUUUAGGGUUUCUUUAACAGUUUCAGUUUCUUUAACAGUUUGGUCCUUUAUCUUUCUGCAGGACUUGUAUAGUUCAAAGCAUUGACUUGUAUAGUUCAAAGUAUAGUUCAAAGCACUGAUUCGAUUGCUCAUGCUUUAGAGGCCAUCUGAAGCCAUUUCUAUUCUUUAUCGCAUUCUUGAAACCCAUCUUCUUAAUUGAAAACUAAAACUGAAAGAAUUCGGGAAAAAAAACUCUAUUUAUAAUUUAAAAAUAAAAUCCACGUCGGUUGUAGUACACUUAACGACGUUUAACAAAAUAAUCUACGUCGGUAAUUAUAAAUCUACCGCCAUCUUACCUUAAUAUAGACGACGAGAAAAGACGACGGUAGAACAGAAAACCGCCGUUGUUUCAGUUUCUUUAACAGUUUGGUCCUUUAUCUUUCUGCAGGACUUUUAUAGUUCAAAGCAUUGACAAUGUCUUCAUCAUAUCUCCCAGCAACUACUGAUUCGAUUGCUCAUGCUUUAGAGGCCAUCUGAAGCCAUUUCUAUUCUUUAUCGCAUUCUUGAAACCCAUCUUCUUCUUCUGAAGCUCUACGGAUAAAGGAAGAGGCUAUCACAAAUCUGACGGAUCUUCUUAGCCAAGAAAAUCAAGCAGAUUUCCCUGAGAAGCGAACUUUCCUUCGACAGCGAGUGGAGGCCAGGCUUGCAUCUCUUUUGAUGGAAAGCAAGGAGUAUUCAGAAGCACUAAGUGUCCUAUCAGGCUUGAUCAAGGAAGUGAGAAGGCUAGUUGACAAGCUUCUUCUUGUGGACAUAUAUUUGAUGCGAGUAAGCUCAAUUUCUCUUUGAGAAAGACAUCCAAAUUAUUGUCUUUGAGACGUGAGAGACUGAGAGAGGAAGAACUUGGAACCCUAAAUGUAAACCGAAAAUGAAUGAAAGCGACAAAUUUAUAGAAUAAAUUUUUAAAACCAACGGCGGUCCUUACAAAAAAACCGCCGUUUAAAUUGUAAAAUCAACGUCGAUAUGACCGACGUAUAUUACAGAAAUCCACGUCGGUACAUUAAUAAAAACGACGUGUUAAAUAAUCUACCAUGACGCGAGUUAUUACUUAUGUACUUUAAUUUUUGAGUUUACUACGACGGUACCUACAACACUACUGUCGUAUUUAUUUACCACGUCCGAAGUUAAAUGUACCGUCGUAUUUUGUAAUUUAUACGUCGUAGUUAUAUGUAACCGCCGUAUUAUUUUUUUGAAAUGGUUUUAUAUGUAAGCAACUUUUCGUCUACUUGACUUACACAUUCGUUGUUUUUAUAUUCUUAUUUUAUUUAAAUCUGUCAUCCAAAAAAGAAACUUUACAUAUUGCAGAAUAUUAAUUUCCUUCGUUUUAAAUUUCCUCCGGAAAAAAAACUCUAUUUAUAACGCACUGUAAUUGAAAAAUAAACUGAAAGGUCACGGGAAAAAAAAUUCUAUUCAUAAUUUAAAAAUUAAAAUCCACGUCGGUUAUAUUAAACCUAACGACGUUAAAUGAAAUGAUUCCACGUCGAACGAAAAAUAUUGCGUCGUGUUAGUUAAAAACGACGUAGUUAAAUGUAACCGCCGUAUUAUUUUUUUGAAAUGGUUUUAUAUGUAAGCAACUUUUCGUCUACCUGACAUACACAUGCGCUGUUUCCAAACCCGAUUAAAAAUUUCAAUCUCCCAGAGAAAACUUUUAGACUUUUUUCCUUGUCAGAGCACUGUCAGAGUAUCUCAUCGUCUUCCUCUCGUCUUCUUCGUCGUCUCUGAACUUAAACAUAAUCUUCCUCUUGCUUUCAUUGCACGCAAAAGGUAAGCUUUCAUUUUCACUAUUUUGGUUGCUGUUUUGCAUGCUCAUACGUUUUUUGUUUGAAAAAUCGUUUUACCUUUUUUCUGGCCAAAAUCAUUUUACUUCUUUCCAAGUUCGAUAAAAUAUACAGACAAAGAGGGAAAGUUUCCAACUUUGAAGACAACUACCUCAACUAAAUAAGACGACGGUAGCUUUUUAUUUACGUGGUUAAAUAUGUAGACCACGACGGUUCGUCAGUCGUUCUAGCGUCGUCUGAAAAUUGACAAAGUUGUUUUUAAAAUUAUAGUCUUUUUCUUAUUUGCUUGUUUAAUUGCAGGUUUGAUUUCUCUGAACAAUGCUUUUUGUUUUUCCCUAAUUUGAUAAAAUAUAAAGAAAAAGAAAAUAGGGUUGGUAUCUAAUAUAGACGACAGUAUCUUAUUGUUUUACGUCGUGUGAAUGUUAAUACCACGACGUCAUAUUAAAAUACCGUCGUCUAUAUAAGAUUCCAAAACUUUCUUUCUUGGCCUUGUAUUUUAUCAAAUUAGAAAACAAAAACCAUGGUUCAGAAAAAUCAAAUCUGCAAUCAAACAUUCACAGAGAAAGAAAGAAGGGUUUUGGAUCCUUAUAUAGACGACGGUAUAUUACUACUGACGUCGUGUGAACAUCAAUACCACGACGUUAUAUAAAUAUUUUUAGUUAAUUAUCACAUCGUUUAUAGUUAAUUAUUUCGUCGUUGUUUAAUUACCUUGGUUUUAAACAUUUAUUACGUCUGAGAUUAUUUCAUUGCGUCGUUUAAAAUCAUAUCAUACGUCGUAUUUUAUUAAUAACCGUCGUUUGUGUUCUUAAUCUUUUCCUGAAAUAUUUUCACUUGCAGUUUUGUCUGUAAAAAUGGUUUCUCACCAAGACCAAAGUAAGGAUUCUGGCUCCAAGAAAAAUGGAGGUAAGGAGCUUGGAAUGGUACCUCCUCAAGUGAAGCCUUCGAAGAAGAUGAAGUUUGCUUCAUCAUCUGUCUCACGACAACAAUCUCUGAUGAUUCAAAGUCUGGUCGAGGUAUGAGCACAAUGCCUCGUGUUGUGAAGAGAAAACUUCAGAAACUGAGGCCAAUUGUUGAGUACAAUAAAAGGGGGAAAGGAAUUGGCCAAGCACAUAGUGAGAUGCAGUCCUACAUUGGUGUGUUGGCACGCUCCAGAGUUCCACUUGUGGACAUGAAAUGGGCUCAAAUCUCCAAGGAUAUAAAGGAGCAGAUUUGGGAAGCAGUUGACAUUGCUUUUGUGGUAGGUCAAGGGGGCAAGAGCUCUGUGUUAGCUUCUGCUGCCAAGAAAUGAAAGGAUUUCAAGUCUACACUAACGAGGCAUUAUAUCCUUCCAUACACCAAUGACAGGGAGAGAUUAAGCCAACCCCCUGAAACAUAUAAAUUCAUAGAGAAAGCACAAUGGGAUGCCUUUGUAGCUUCAAGGUUAUCCAAAGAUUUUGAGUCUGUGCAUUCUCAACAUGCACAGAUUAGGGAGAAACUCAAGUACAAUCAUCGAUUGUCUCGAAAAGGAUAUGCUGGUUUGGAGGAUCAAUUGGAGGAAACCAUGCCUGGGGUAGAAAUUGAUCGAUCUACCUUAUGGAAGAGAGCUAGACAGGACAAACAUGGUAACAUGGCAGAGAAAGCAAAAUUAAUUGUAAGCCUACUCACUCUGUUUUAAAUUUUUAUUAAACUGCGAAUAAUUCUUAUUACGUCUUAUGUUAUAUUUUGCGUCGUGUGAAUGAUAUUACCACGUCGAAAUUUUUUAAAAAACGUCGUUAAAGGUCUAAAUAGGAAUCACUACUCUGUUUUCUGUAAUUAUAGCAUAAGAUGUCGGUGGUUCAUUUUCGCGUCGUUUGUAUUGAAUUACUACGUCGAAAUGUUUUAAACAAGGUCAUUAAAGGUGUGAAUAUUGAAUCAUCCCUCUGUUAUCUGUAAAUAAAGCAUAAGACGUCGGUGGUUUAUUCAUUCCGUCGUGAUAAAUUAUAAUAACGUCGAUUUAUAUGUUAUUGCGUCGUGUGAAAUUAUAUAAUACGUCGUUUGUAUAUAAAUAACCGUCGUGUGUUUUUGUUCUUACUUUUUUUAUAUAUCUUUGUUUUAGGAUGAAUUGCAAAAACAAGUCUCGGAAGGCAAAGUCACUGUUUCUGGCAGCAAUGAUGUGCUGACCAUGGCUUUGGGCCCCGAGCAUCCAGGCAGAGUGAGAGGAGUAGGUGCUGGGAUCUCACCAAGGCAAUAUUUCAAUUUACCCAAACCACAGAGAGUGAGCUUUGACGACCGUUUGAAGGACAGUUUAAGAGUUCUCCCUCAAGAAGAGACUAAAAAGAUGGAAGCUAAGGCAAGGGAAGAGGCUUUAAGGAUGGAGGCUAGAACGAAACAAUUGGUAGAGGCUGAGAGGGAGCAUUUCCUGAGUCAGCUUUCCCAAUUAAUUCCCAAUUUUGAUCCAAGCAUGCUUAAACCCAGAAUUAGCCAAAGUCCCAAAAAUCCAAUGUCUGACAAAGCAAGCUGCUCUUGAGGUGAUGUGAGAUCCCAGUAUUUUGAGGAUGAUACUGCCAAAAAUGGGAAACAUCAGGAAGAAAAGGUAACAUAUCUGAACUUUGAAUUCUCUGUUUUUUUAAAAACCAUUAGACGUCGUUAUUAUUAAUAAAACCGUCGUUUGAAAUACAUACCACGACGAUUUUAAAAAUAAACCGUCGUUUGUAUUUCAAUACCACGUCGUAUUUAGUUUACUUGUUUUACACGCCAUUAAACGUCGUUAUUUUUAAAACUUUGUGGUUUUUAGACGACGGAGUUAGUCAUUCCCGACGUAAUAGAUGAAGAGAAGAAAGAAGAAAAACAAGAUGAAAAGGAGAAAGAAGAUGACGACCAGGUAUGUUCACAUAACUUUGCCUUUUUUAUUUGUUUUUCAAAAUUCCAGACGUCGAUAUUUUUCUUUAAACCGUCGUUUGUUUACAACUUAGACGGCGGAAUUUUUUUCUAAGACGUAAUAAAUUAUUCACCACGACGGUUUCUUCACCGUCGUUUAAAUUCUUUUCAGACGACGUUUUAUUCCUUAAACCGUCGUUUUUAUUGAAUUACCACGUCAUUUUUUUUAUUUCUUUAAACAGGUUAUUAAAGUUAUUGAUUAUUCAAAUAUGGAGGCGCCAUCUUCUUUAAAAUCCCUUUGUCGUUAUGUGGAAACGACACUCGUGCCUCAGGAUAAGACCCUGCACUUUACAAUUGAUAAGGAGGUGUUUGGUCUAGAGCGCGAUACCUUCCUCCUGCCUGAAGAUAUUACACAAUUUGCAGGCAUGGAAGAAAUAGGAGCCACUAUCAUUGCUGUAUAUAUGAGGUUUGUCAUUCUAAAAUAAUACGUCGUUGGUUUAUUUAUUGCGUCGUCUUAACCAACUAACCACGUCGUUAGAAUGUACCGUCGUGAUAAAUAUAUUAUAACGUCGUUGUCUAUUUCAGUACGUCGUGUGAAAUUUUAUAAUAGGUCGUUUUGUUAUACAUAACCGUCGUGUGUUUUUUUAUAAAUAUGAGGUUUGUCAUUCUAAAAUAAUACGUCGUUGGUUUAUUUAUUGCGUCGUCUUAACUAACUAACCACGUCGUUAGUAUGUACCAUCGUGAUAAAUAUAUUAUAACGUCGUUGUCUAUUUCAGUACGUCGUGUGAAAUUUUAUAAUACGUCGUUUUGUUAUACAUAACCAUCGUGUGUUUUUUUGUGCUGACUUGUUUAUAUUAUUUUAUAUAUUUAGGUACUUACACGAUGUUUUGAAACGAGCAAAUAUGUGCAGCAUGGUUGGCUUUAUCGACCCUGCUACAGUUAGUGUCAGCUCUGGCACAAUAGCUGACAGAUCACGCCUACUAGCAGCUCGACUUCAGAUGACUGACGGUGAACAGAUUUUCUUGAUGCCUUAUAAUCCAGGGUUAGUCUCCUUAACAGGAUUUUGUUUUUAUGAUUUUCAAUAAAUGACAGCGUAUAAACUAACCACGUCGGUGUUUUAUUUUAUUGAGUCGUUUGAAACUACUAACCACGUCGGUAGUUAUUUAUCGUCGUGAUAAAUGUAUAAUGUCGUCGAUUGCUACUUUAUUUCGUCGUGUGAAAUAUUAUAAUACGUCGUUUUUGUAAAUAACCGUCGUUUUUAUAUUAAUUUUGUGCAGCCGUCAUUGGAUCUUGCUGAUUGUAAGAGCAAAGAGAGAAACCGUCUAUUUUCUGGAUCCUCUGCCAGGAAAUCGUGUGGUCGAUGAAGAGGCCAAAAACAUUGUGAACAGUGCUAUAAAAAUUUAUAAUUCUCACAUAGCCAGACCAGGCCGUAAGGCAGUCAUUUGGAAAACUCUGUCAGGCACACCAAAGCAACCCAGCAGUGUCGAAUAAGGGUAUUAUGUGAUGCGCUUCAUGAGGGACAUCAUCAUGGAUCCUUCCUUGGGGUUUGAGAAGAAGGUAAGAAGAAAUUACCUUCAUACAUUUUACGUCGUUUUUUGUAUUAUCAACGACGGUCAUGUAAAAUUACCGUCGUUGAAUAGAUAUAGUACGUCGGUUAUGAAAAAUAUCGUCGUCUGUGAUUGAAUUUUUUUUUAUUUAUAAACCCUAAUAGUCAUUGUUUAUGCAGUAUGCCAAGGGAAAACAGGAAGCGCCAUACCCCCAAGAAGCAAUUGAUGAAGUCCGGAAUGAAUGGGCAAAGUUUGUUUGCCUUCACCUGGAAUAGGGGAAUUAUUGAACACUUGAUAUUUAUGUAUAAUGUACAAAUUUUGUCUAUAAUAUAUAAUGUAAAAAUUUGUUGAGGUUUUCUUAAAUUAAAAAAAAUACAAACAUACAAAUUGCGUAACCGACGUGUAAUACUUUUCCAACGACGUAAUAAAGUCAAAAGCCGUCGUUUUUUGUUGUUUCAUUUUAAACAAAUCCGACGUAAAAGGAUAUUUAGACGACGUUCUUUGAACAAUUGAGUCGUUUAUGGUUUACAACGUCUUCAAUUUCUUAAGGGUUCAGGGUAGUACUUUGUAACGACAGCGGUUAAGUCGUGGAAUAUAUAUUUUACGUCGGAUAGUUAAAUAUCCGCCAUGGUUUCUCAUUUAAACGACGUCAUUUUAACAACUUAGUCGUCUAUUACAAUUUACAACAUCUACAAUUUAUUAACACCGACGUGGUUUGUUGUUGUGAUAAGAAUAUUUUAUUAUUUUUAUAUCAAAAUAUUCAAAAUAAAUUCAAAAUAAAUCAGAAAAAUGCAAAGUCAACUCCUAUGAAGUCAUUGAUAUAUUUUCUUCCCCCUAAACCUUGAAAAAAUUCAUUUUGAAUAACAAAAAUUUAAAAUGACCAUCCAAAACAAAAUUGUUUUGAUGAGUCAUAAAAGCACUUCUAGUUUUAUGGUUUAGGGUUUAGAGUCUAGGGUUUAGAGAUUAUGGUUGUUAUUUAUUGGGGUUUAUUUUUAAAGUAUAAUUUUUGGGUAGUCUUGGGUAUAUAUUAGGCUGUAAAACCAUAAACCCUUUUAUAAACUUAAUUUUUAAAAUUAUAUAAUUUAGUUUUAAGGGUUUAGGGUAUUAAUUGUUAACGACGGUGGUUGAGUCGUGGAAUACAUAUGUUACGUCGUGCAGUAAAAUAUCCGACAUGGUUUCCACUUUAAACGACGUCAUUUUAAUAUGUAAGUCGUCUAUUAUAAUUUACAACGUUUUCAAUUUCUUAACUUCGACGUGGUUUUUCAGUCGUCUUUAUAUCAAAAUAUUCAAAAUAAAUUUAAAAUUAAUCCGAAAAAUGAAGCGUCAAAAUAAACGGCGUUACGUUCAGUGUUUCCGUUGUGGAAUAUUACAUUUACGUCGGUUCUUGUAGAACUUUCGCCAUGGUUUUUCUUUCGACGUUUUAAAGAUUGCGCGCUCUAAAAAUUUUCGCGCGCCCUAAAUUUUUUUAUAUUUGGCUCUUAUUCUUAUACUUCUAACCCUGAACCCUAAAAUUUUCAGAUUUCGCGCAACAUAACAUUCGCUCUCUCACUUCUGCUCUAAUUAAAAGUUGCACUCUCCAGGCUCCGUCGAAUCUGUGAGCUCGUCCAACCUGUAAGUACAAACCCUAUCUUCCCCUUGUAAAUUCAUUGAAUGAUAUUAGGUUGUUUUGUUAAAGGGUUUUAGAUAUAUGUUUUGCGAUCUGUUAAUAAUGUGCUUAUAGGUAUGGGUUCAUGGAUUUUCUGUUUAAUGGGUUCAUGGAUUUUCUGUUUAAUGGGUUCAUGGAUUACAUUAUCUGUUAUGUUGAAUUGGGAAUGGAUUUAAUUUUGUCGGAUCUUUUAAUCACCCUAUGUUAUGUUGAAUUGGGAAUGGAUUUAUUGUUUUCAUGCUUGGUUUCAUGUAUAUGUUGGUUUCUUGCUUGAUUUCAUAUAUAUGUUGUGUUCUUAAUGGGUUUUGGGUUCUUGAAAAUAAACUGAGACACGACGCCUUUUUAGGCAUACGACGACGAUUACACGACGGUUUAUGAAAAAACAGUCGUUGUAUUACGUAUACACGACGGUUUUUUCAUAAACCGUCGUUUGUAUUACUUAUAUUAGACGACGUCUGUUGAAAAUCCGUCGUCUAUAUAUGCCAAAUACGUCUGUUUUUGUUUAAAACCCGUCGUCUCUGUUGUGUAUUACUUGCUAUUAGAUCUUUGUAUAAUCUGCUAUAGUGAUGGUCAUUGCCUGUAUUUUCACUUUAUUAUAGAUAAUAGGUUAUAGUGUCGGAGAUGGAUAAGUCAUGGAUGCACUCGGAUAGAAGAUCGAAGGCAUAUGAGUUUGGGGUGGAAGCAUUUUUGAACUUUGCUGUAGAAAAUCUUCUAACUACCACACAUAUCCGUUGUCCAUGUGUUAAAUGUGUUAAUUUGAAGUUGUUUGGGGUUGGAAUUAUAAGGGAUCACUUAUACUUUAAUGGAAUUGACCAAAGCUAUAAGAAUUGGACAUUUCACGGAAAACCUUGGGAAGCAACUACUAAUGCUAGUAGAAAUGUUGAAGAAGAUGAUGGCCAUAGUAGGUACAGUUUUGUGUCUGAAGAAAUUGAUAUGGAUGAUAAUGAUUUUGGUGAUUUUGGUUCCGAUCCGUAUGAGUUUGCCAAUGUGAUUGGGGAUGGAGAUCAACCAGUGUACCUUGGUUGUAGAAAGUACACGAAGUUAUCGGCAUUAGUGAAGUUGUAUAAUUUGAAGGCAAAACAUGGGAUGAGUGAUGUCUGUUUUACAGAAUUAUUGAUACUUCAAGGCGAUUUGCUUCCAGAAGGAAAUACAAUACCAACCUCUAUGUAUGAGGCUAAAAAGACUUUGUGUGCAUUGGGGCUGAGUUAUGAGAAAAUGCACGCAUGCCCCAAUGAUUGCAUCUUGUAUAGGAAGGAAUAUGAGGAUUCAACUAAUUGUCCUACUUGUGGUAUCUCAAGGUGGAAGGAAGGCAAAGAUUCAAUCUUGAAAGAGGGUGUGCCAGCGAAGGUGGUGUGGUAUUUUCCUCCAAUUCCAAGGUUUAAAAGGAUGUUUCAAUCACAUGAGACAGCUAAGAGUUUGACUUGGCAUGCUGCUAGAAAAUCAAUUGACGGUCAGAUGUCUCAUCCGGCGGAUUUCCCGUCUUGGAAACUUCUUGAUGAUAAAUGGCCUGAGUUUGGUAAUGAGCCGAGAAACUUGAGAUUGGCUCUUUCAUCUGAUGGAUUCAAUCCCCACAGUUCUCUAAGUAGCAGAUAUAGUUGUUGGCCGGUUAUCUUAGUUACAUAUAAUCUCCCUCCAUGGCUGUGCAUGAAACGAAAGUUCAUGAUGUUAACCUUAUUGAUUUCCGGUCCUAAACAACCCGGAAAUGAUAUAGACGUCUACUUGGAGCCUUUGAUUGAUGAUUUAAAAUCUUUGUGGGAUGGGAUUAGAGGAGUGUAUGAUGCACAUAAUGGAGAAUACUUUAUACUCAGAGCUGCAUUAAUGUGGACAAUUAAUGAUUUUCCCGCCUAUGGAAACUUAUCUGGUUGUGUUGUUAAAGGAUAUAAAGCUUGUCCAAUAUGCGGCGAUGAUACACCUAGUCACAGGUUGAAAAAUGGCCACAAAAUUUGUUACAUUGGGCAUAGAAAAUGGUUACCAAUCAAUCAUCUAUAUAGGAGGCAACGUGCAGCUUUUAAUGGGAAACCUGAAUAUGGCAUACCUCCCGAGCCAUUAACCAGAGAAGAAGUGCUGCAUAUGGUUGAAAAUGGUGACAGAGUUUGUUGGAAGAAGAAAUCAAUAUUCUUUGAUCUCGAGUAUUGGAAAUACCUUCCUGUGAGGCAUGCCCUAGAUGUUAUGCACAUUGAGAAGAAUGUUUGCGAUAGUAUUAUUGGUACAUUGCUGGAGAUCCCUGGAAAAAAUAAAGAUGGGAUUGCAGCUCGAUUAGAUUUAUUGAACAUGGGGGUCAAAACUGAUUUGCAACCCGAGUAUGGAGAAAGACGUACUCGUUUGCCUCCUGGGCCUUGGAAUUUGUCAAGAGCAGAGAAGAGAGAGGUUUGCAAUUCUUUCUAUGGUAUGAAGGUCCCUGAAGGUUAUUCUUCAAAUAUUAAAAAUUUGUAUCUUUACAAGAUUCAAGACUUCUUGGCCUUAAAUCACAUGAUUGUCAUACCUUAAUGCAACAAUUGCUCCCUGUGGCAAUUCGUUCUGUUUUGGAGAAGCCGGCAAGGUAUGCAAUAACUCGUUUGUGCUUCUUCUUCAAUGCUAUAUGUGCAAAGACUGUUGAUGUUUCCAAGCUAGAUAAGUUGGAAGAAGAUGUAGUAGUUACUCUGUGUUUGCUUGAGAAGUACUUUCCCCCUUCAUUCUUUGAUAUCAUGGUUCAUCUAGUAGUACAUCUUGUCAGAGAAGUUCGUCUAUGUGGGCCAGUAUAUUUUAGGUGGAUGUAUCCGUUUGAAAGAUAUAUGAAAGUGCUGAAGGGGUAUGUUCAGAAUCGUACUCAUCCCGAAGGUUGCAUUGCUGAGCGGUAUAUAGCUGAAGAAGCGGUAGAGUUUUGUACUCAGCAUUUAUCUGAUGUUAGUACAGUUGGAGUGCCUUCAAGCCAAAAGAUGGGACUUUCAAAGCCAUUAUCAGGUUGCACAGUGAGCGUAGUUGAUCAGGACCUGUUGAAUCAAGCACAUCUAUAUGUCUUGGAGAAUACGGAGGAAGUCCUACCUUAUAUCGAGUACGUAUGAGUUUUAUUCUUUAACUUAUUGAUUUUAAAUUAUUUCUUAUGUUUAUCUUCUAUAUUUGGGACCGUAAUGCUUGAAUUUUUCGUGUCAUGUAGGCAACAUAUGAUCCACAUCAAGACUGCUUAUCCAAAAUUUAGAAAGAGAACAAAGUGGCUGCAGGAUAAGCAUAAUAGCACUUUCAUUCAAUGGCUACGCUUCAAGGUAUAUGUUGUUGAAUAACAUAUUUCUCUUUUAAUUUUCUUCUUAUUUCUAUGUUAGAUUGAAUUAAGAUAUAUGAUUAAUUUGCAGGUUCAAAGUGAACUUGAGGAAGACAAUCAUGGCGUAUCAGAAAAUUUAAGGUGGCUAGCAGCUGGUCCAAACAUGUCAGUGCCAUUAUAUAGGAGCUAUCUUAUUAAAGGUAUUAAAUUCAAUAUCAAGGCACAAGAUGAUGUGCGGACAACUCAAAAUAGUGGAGUUUAUUUACUUGCACAUACCAUGCAAGUUGCUAGUGCCAAGGAUAAAAACCCAAUUCUCUCAAAUAUGGGUUUCUAUGGUGUCAUUCAAGAAAUUUGGGACCUUGACUACCAAAAGUUUACAAUCCCAGUUUUUAGGUGUGAUUGGAUAGAUAGUUCUGGUCUUGUAGUCGACGAACUUGGAUUUACCCUUGUAGAUUUGAGUAAAAUUGGACAUAGGAAUGACCAAUUUGUUUUGGCUUCUCAAGUCAAACAAAUAUUUUUUGUUGACGACCCGAUGCAUCGUGGUUGGUCGGUAGUGUUAUCAAUGCCUAAUAGAGAAUAUAAUGAUGUUAUUGGUGAUGAAGUCUUAGGUGAUGUGAUAAUUGAGUGUGAGCCAUUUACUAGAGGGAUGCCAAAUGUUGACACAUUUGAUGAACUGGUGGGUGAGUUAGGUGGUCAAAAUAUUCGAGAUGGGUGUGAAGAUAUAUGGAUUGAAUGAUGCUUAUGUAAUUGGCAGUGUAUGACAUUAAUUUUGUAAUAUAUUGUAAUGUGAUUUCUUCACUUUCUACGUUCAAAUAAAACACGACGUUAUUGUGAACCAGUUAUUCAGCAUAUUUACCGACGUCUUAAAGCAACGUAACAAUGAAGAACCACGACGCUAUUGUGAAGCAAUUAUUCAGGAUAUCACGUCGGGGAAGGAUUAAGAACCGCCAUGUAAUUCAAAAUAACACGACUCCAAUCCCAUAAUACCGACGUCUAAAAAACGAGAUAUAUAAUCUGAACGUUAAAAAAUACGACGUCAUCAUACAUUUUCCACGUCGCAAGUUCUUUUAUAAACGAAGAGGAACGAAAUGAAUUCCGACGGUAAUUCAUUAUAACCGCCGUCUAAUAUCAAUUAAACGACGUUAUUUGUAAUACGGCUCUCUCAUCGCAUUUCAACGCCGUCUAUAUGUUCUGUAAUACGGCUCUCAUUUAUUUAGAACCGACGUUGUUUAGAAGUUCAACGUCGUCUAUAUUAAUAAGUGCGUCGUGAGUAAUGAAUACAUAUAAAUACAACGUCGACUACAUAAAUGCCACCGACGUUGUUUCGCAUUCAACGUCAACUAUAUAAAUACAUACGUCGUAAAUAAUGACACUAACAACUAUUUCCACGUCAUCUUUUUUAGAAAAAUCGAAGUGGAAAAUUUAUUUCACGACGGUUGUUUGUAAAUAAGAGACGUAGUAGAUUUCAAUAACGUCGUCUUCUCAUGUAUUUAAAGACGUCAUAUUUUUUCUUGUCGUGAAAAUUAUAUUUGACGGCGUAGUGUUUUAGUUGUCGUCGUUGUAUGUCUAUCUUGCGGCCUUGUCCUUUUAAUAUGUGUCAUAUUUUUCCUUUUUAACGACGGUGAUUUGUUUGAGUUGGUCGUCUAUUCUCAUCCUCGACUAUUUUUUAGAACUUUAGCAGACUAAACACGUCUGUUUUUAUUUGUUUUCGACGUUGUUUUAUUUAACAACGUCUAAUAUUUAUCGUCGUUGUUUGUUUCUGAAAAUAGGACGUAUAAAUUUUGUAAUACGACUCUCAUAUAUUUGUAACCGACGUUGUUUUGUUGUUCAACGUCUACUCUAUAAAUACAUACGUCGUAAAUAAUGACACUGACAACUAUUUCCACGUCAUCUUUUAUAGAAAAAUCGAAGUGGAAAAUUUAUUUUACGACGGCUCUUUUUAUAUAGGCGACGUAGUAGGUAUCAAUAACGUCGUCUUCUAAUGUAUUUAAAGACGUCAUAUUUUUUAUUGUCGUGAAAAUGAUAUUUAAUGGCGUCUUAUUUUAAUUUUCGUCGUUGUAUGUCUAUCUUGCGGCCUUGUUCUGUUAAUAUGUGUCAUAUUUUUCCUUUUUAACGAUGGUUUUUUUAGAGAGUUGGUCGUCUAUUCUCAUCCUCGACUGCUUUUUUAGAUCUUUUUGCAGUACAAAGACGUCGUUUUGUAUUUGUUGAUGACGUUGUAUAUUGUAACAACGACGGUGAUUUAGCGUCGUAGUUUAUGAGGGAAAAGAUGACGGUGGAUUCCACGACCAUUGAAAAACCGAAUACACGACGGUGAUUUACCGUCGUCUUUUUGCUUUUUUGUAGUAGUGAUGUUGGCGAGACAUGAAGACUAGACGGCUCAAUUUGGGCCUGUUUUUUUAUAAGGACGCAGAGGAGAAAGAGAGGCGAUUCGUGAUAUUAUCAAGGCCAACUUGGAGUUCAUUGAGGCUUUUAACAAACACAAGGGUCAGAACUACUUCACUCUAGACUAAGCUUAAAUGAAUUUGCAGACCUAACCAAUGAGGAGUUUCGGGAAAUUCAUAAUGGUUACAUGAAACGAUCCUCCAAAUUGAUCAUGUCCAAUUCCACGAAAGCUACAAGUUUUAGAUAUUGAAAUGUCACUGAUGUGCCACCUUCAGUGGAUUGGAGAGAAAAGGGUGCAGUGACGCCUAUGUGGUAAGUAUUAAACAAGUUGUUAAACGAUGACGCAUUCACUGUUUCACAACAUAACAUGUUAUUGAAUGAUGAGGCAUGUUAUUUCAAUUUUAUAAGGUGUUGGUGGGUGUUCUCAGCAGUGGCAGCGACAGAAGGGGUUAACCGGCUCAAAACCAGAAACUUAAUCUCACUAUCAGAGCAAGAGCUUGUGGAUUGUGACACUACAGGUCAAGAUCAUGGCUGUGAAGGUGGUCUAAUGGAUGACGCUUUCCAAUUCAUCCAACGCAAGAAAGGCUGACAACUGAAGCUAAUUACCCCUACCAGGGUGUAAAUGGAACUAGUUGCAACACUCAGAAGGCUGCAUCCCAAACAGUGUCAAUAAACGGGUACGAGGAUGUGCCUAAAAACAACAAAAAUGCUAUGUUGCAAGCCGUCGCUAACCAACCAAUUUCGGUUGCCAUUGACGCAAGUGGCUGUACAUUCCAGUUUUAUUCAAGUGGUGUGUUCAUUGGAACAUGUGGUAUAAACUUAGAUCAUGGUGCGGGACUAGUAGUGAUGGGACUAAAUACUGGCUAGGGAGGAAUUCUGGGGGCACGGUGGGGGGAGAGUGGAUAUGUGACGAUGCAAAGGGGCAUUCCUGCCAAGGAAGGACUCUGUGGCAUUGCUGUUGAAGCUUCUUAUCCAACCGCAUGAUUAAUUAAAAUACAUAUAUGUCUGUAAACACGAAUUUCCUGCGACAAAUGAGACAAAAACACAUAUACAAAAUAAUAUUUGUAUUAAUGAAAUUUAGGAUUACAAUCUCUGUAUUGAAUCCUCUGAUUCGAUCUCCAAAGUGUUUAAAGAAAAUUUGCGUUUGAUACAAGGGUCGUAGAGACUUGAUCUUGAUCAAACGGGUAGCACAAGGCUUGUUUGGUGUUCGAAUUUUUCUAGGGUGGAGGAACCGGCACAUAUUUGUUGUGCUUGAUGGCUCUUCCAAAGUGAGGUGAAGAAUGCAGAGAGUUUUUUGUUUCUUCUGAAUGCUUCAUCUGUCUAGGCCCCCUUCUUUUCCCUUGAGGCCUCCUAUUUAUAGGCCCCUACAGGAUGCUUGACCUAAAUAGCUUUCCUUUUUUAGAACCCUACUUUGUGGAAUUCUGAUUUGAUUUAAAAUCAAUUCCAAUAAUUUGGCAAUUUAACCAAAUUAUCUUUGAUUGAUUGACUUGAUUAAUAUUUGAUUUAAAUCAAAGUCAAUCACAGAAGAUUCUUUCCUUUAAUUUUGUCUUCACUUCGAACUGUUUGAUGCACUUCGUCGGAUGUCAACACGUCUCACUUUUGACAACUAAUCCAAAUUUGAUGAGUUGUACACCACAUGAGCUGCUAUCCUUCACUUUGAAAUCCAUGCCUAAGAACAUAGAGACAAUUAACCCAUGACGUGGAUUUGCUCUUAAAAUCUCACGCAAUUAAUUAGCAGCUCUAGCUAUGAGGUUGACAUGUUUUCAAUACCAUUGCAAGGUUAAAUCAAGUUAGAUUAAGGGAGCAUAUUUUUGCUCACCAUCAUUCUCAAUAUUUGAUAUGUGUCUAUUAGUAUAACCAUGAUUCUAUAAAUUUAUAAAGCAAAGAAUUAACUAUGGUUAUGCCAAUGAACACGUGCCAAGUGUUAAGAUGGAUGGUGAGAGUACACAUUUGGGUCGGAUCUAAUGUCUGCAACUGUAUUCAAUUUAAUUAAGGAUUCAUUUACAAGGCGAGUGGAAGGAGUCAUCAAUUUUGAAUUAACAAGUUUCUACUUUAACGUAUAACAACUAUGUUCAUAUUUAUUGGCUAUAUAACUUGUUAUAUUCAGCCAAUUACUAGGAUAAUGUAUGCACUUAAGAUCCAAGUGCUUUGACUUUUGUGCCACAUAGAAUUACAUUCUUUUUUUGAUAUUUUAUGAUGUAAAUUUUUUAAUUUUUUAAUUUUGAAAUCAUUUUUUGGUCCAAUAUUACCCCUUAUGACUUGAAUCGGAUAAUAGUCAUUUAUGUCAUAUUGCAUAGAUAUAUAUAUAUAUAUAUAUGUUUUUUCAUAUUUUCGACAAUGUGUCAUAGUAUUUUAUGUACCUUUUUUUAAUAGGUAACAUACAAUUUUAUUUUGUCUAUUUUUGUAUCUGACUUAUAGGUAGUUUUCUAAUUUAUGUUCCUAACUUAUAGAAAACACGAUUUAUCACUAAGUAUUUUUCGUUAAUAAUAACACUAUUUACCUGUAUGUCAAGCACAUAAUUUAAUAUCGGUGCUUGUCUGAUCGAUUAGUAUAAUAUGUGGGUCUUUAUUUUUUAUUAAUUAAAUUGUAUUUUAUCCAUAUAUUAGGAAUAUUAUCAAAGAAAGAAUUUAAAUUUUAAAUUAUGAAAUUCAAUUACAAGGAAAAAAUGCAUUAAAUUUAGAUUUUCAAUGUGGUUUCCUUAUUUACCUCAAAGGGUAAAAUUGACACAACAAAAAAAGUAAUAAAUGUCAAAGGACCUACAUCUAAAACAAAAAACGCGAUGACUAAACUCAAUGACAGCUAAUCGUUUUGGACCUAGAUUUAAGAAGCACUUUUGUUUAUUAUCUAACAUCGUUGCAUGCCAUUGACAAUGUGCCUAUGGAUGAGGAAGAGAAAGUUGUGCUUGACUGAUGAUUGACAGAAACUUUCGCAAGUAAAUCUUCGAUGCUACCAGUUGAAGGCCCUUCGAUGCUAAAGUUAGCUUAAGGUGAUGAGAGCAAGCUAUCGACAAUGCAAGGUCAUAAGUGUCAAGUGGCAAGUCUUACCCUGUAUCUGGGGUGAUGAGCUAUAUUUAUAGGGAGUUCUGGAUUUUUUUGGGUACUUAGUUUCAAUGUGGGACUCGUGGGAGUGCCUUCCGAGGUUGACAUGCGUCCCAGCAAAUAUCCUAGCGAUGAACCCGAGAACAUCCUACAAGAUGCCUUCUAAGACGUAGAAUUGGCAAGGCAUGCCAAAUACACUUACCAGCAGUGGGCCGGUUAGUGAACAAUCGGCGGAUGGAGCUGGAAGCGUCUGCUAUUUGUUGGAUUAGACUUGCCAGCAUGGGUUACACGGCCAUGUUGUGCGUAGAAUUGGUCGUGGGAGCCGAAAAGACCUACCGAUUCAUACUAUUGGGCUUGCCAGCGCGGGCCAUGGAGCCUUCCUUAGUGUCAUACCCCUUCCACGUGUCAUGACAUGAGAUGCGGGUCAGGUAUGAUACAAACAAACUUAAAUUAAUUAAAUUCAUCAUGCAAUGCAUUUCCUUUCAAUUUUUUUGUGAUAAACUAAUAGAUAAUUGACUAAAUAAACAUCCUCCAAAGUUUCAAUAAAAAUUACUAAGUUUUUCUUACAAUUUCUGUAGUUUUUAUUCAAUUUGUAUCGAUAUCGAUAAUAUCCCGAUAUUUCCAUCAAAAUUUCCGUAUUUUUAAACUAUCGAUAUUUUCGAUACCAUCAAUAUUUUUUACCUUGGCUGUAGGCACUGGUUAUCACACUAAUUAUCAAGGGACCAGUUGUUGGAUGACACCUGGGGCAGAUUAGAAGUGCAUUAAAUGUUUCCUUUAGUAAUUCUUGGAAACCUGCCGGUACAGCCACUUACAUAGGGGUAUUUUUAAAACAAAAGAAAACGGUUGUGUUGGUUAACAGGUAAAAGUAAGGGGAAAAACUGACGCGCCUCCUUCACAACACUCAUUCCCCUUCUUCUUCUUCCUAAUACCUCACCUACCCUUGUCUCUAGUUCAUUUUCUUUCUGUUUGGGUCAAUUCUAACAUAGUAUCAUGACUGAUUUCUCUUAUUCACAUGCUUAAAUCUUGAGAACCUCUUCUUAGAAAUCCCAAAUUUAUUUGAUUUCUUCUAUUUCCCCAAAUCUGAUUCACCUUUGAUUCAUUAAACAUCAACUAUUAUUUAUUAUGGCUUGUACUAAAUCUCUAGUUGCUGCCCUUCUACUAAAUCCAAAUGGAGUAGAUGCACACAAAGUUGCAGUCAUGAACUGAUGAAAAGUUCCUUCUCCUGCGAAAUAUGUGAAAAAUGGAGAAGCUGGGAUGGGUUUGAUUGAUUUUUGGGUUUAAUUGAUUUUUCAUGUUCGGGUUUGAUGGAGCUGUGUUUGAUUCUUGAUGUCUUGGUUUGAUUGAUUUUUGAUGUUUGUGUUUCUUUUAGACGGGAAGAGAGAGAGAGAGAGAGAGAGAGAGAGAGAGAGAGAGAGCUGAGGGAAUGGGGGAGGGGGAGAGGUGUUGGGAAGGGAAGGAGGGGAUGGGUUAGCUAUUUUUGCAUUUUUGCGUGCAAUUGCAUGGUCUUUUUACAAUUAUCCAAUUAUUAUGAGUAAUUACAUGUAAGUUCAUAGUUUGUUUUGAAAUUUUAUAUGCAAUUAUCUACAAUGGAUGUGCAAUUGCACAACAAUUCUAAGACAUGCAUUAACAACUGAAACAUCGACAAAGGCGUAGUCUCUUUGAAAUUCCUUCCACUAUUUGGAAAUUGCAUGGUUGUCAAUACAAAUGCUAACGACACAAAUUACGUUCAAUUACACAUUACUCAUAUCGCAAUUGAAUUUGUAACUUACAUCCUAAAGUCGAAUAAGUAUAAGAAAUCGCUAUUACUUUUCAUAACUGAGACCCUAAAGCCUAAUAAGCAUAUAAUUUAAAUUAAUUAAAAAAAACCCCUUAAAUAUCAACAUACCAUCUAUAAGUAUCACUAAUAAUCUUAUCGCUCAAAAUAAGUGACCGAUUAAUUGGUUCUCCGUUUUUCUUGGCAAAAAAAAUUGAUUCUCUUUUUUAAUUGUUACAUAUACUAUAUAGUCAUUAAAAUAUUAUAUUUGACUAAAAUAAAUUAAAAUAUUAUACAAUAAUGUAUAGAUACCCAUAGAAAAGAAUAAUUAGACUAUCUAUAUUAUAUUUAGACCAAAAAAAUAAAAUGGAUAUAACUAAUGUAGGGUUUAACAUUGCAAUUGAGAGCCAUACUGUAAAUCUAAGCUAUUUACUCGAGACCUGAAUCCAAUUUCUUCACCUCACAGAGGUAAGGCCAAGGAUUAAAAUAUCAACCAUGCAAAUAAUAUCGGGCCUCCAAUUUACGGAUAUUUUUUGGGAUAUAUUGUUAUCGUCUUAGGUAUCGAAAAAAGAAGAAGACAGAUAUAGGCAUUGAAACACAUAAUUUUGGUAUAAAACUUUCAUAAAUGUUAUGUACAUUAUCAAUGAAUGUAUUGAACAAAUAAAACUCAAAAUUUACUAAUAAUAAGAUAUACAUAUGAUGAAAUAUAAGUGGUAUGUAAUGCGUGUUAAUGAAAAGUUUGAAAAUAAAAUGUUGAUUAGAAUGAAUAAACUAUGCAUAAAUCCAUAGUUUGUUUUAACAUUGGAUUACAAUUUAGAUAAGUUUCCAUCUACAUAAAUGAAGAGCUCCAAUGAGGUUCAAACAAUGAGGAACAACCAUCUAGAUUCAUAUAAUAGUCAUGUCAAGUCACGUAACCUGAGCAGUUUGUAAGCCAUUUUAUAACAUAGUGCACAUAGGUCUCUCUUGAGCUCCCUACUAUCUUCCCAUAUAUGAGAUAGUUAAGAUUAACCCAACUAGUAAGAAAGGGCGGCCCUGAAAUAGUGCAAGUGGCCCCAAUGCACAGGGCUCCUGAUUUUUGAGGACCCCUAAAUUUAUUUAUUUUACAUAAUUUAUAUUAAUAUUAUAACAACUGUAUAUAUACUCCAACGUGCAACAAAUUGACACAAAAAAUUAUUUACUGGAGUUGGUUUCUAGUGCAUAUCCCUCGGUACAAGGCUUAUGUGAAAAAUUUUAAGAACAAAAUUUUAAAUAGUUUUAAAAAAGAAGCACGUGAAAAAUAUAAGGGGAAAGAUCCAAUUAAAUUAACAAUAGUAUAUAUCACACCCAUACGCUUUUUCUUUAAAAAAUAAUAGAUAAUUUCUUCGACUCAAAACAAAACAAAACAACAUAAAAAAUAAAAAAUCAUGUCUUCUUCUUUCUCAAGAACUCUUAUUUUUUCCUACCGAACAUACCAACAUUUAACUUUAUCAAAUGAACGCAACAUACUCAACGAACGCAACCCUUGCGUUCACGUGAAAAAAUAGUACGUUUGUUUGAAAAAGAAAGUUAGUUGGGUCCAUUUUCUUGAGGAACGGGCAACUUUACUCAACGAACGUACUCCUUGUGUUCGCAUGAAUAAAUAUCCUGUUUGUUUGACAAAGUAAGUUCAUUUUGCCCAUUUUUCCGGGGAACGGGCAACUUUACUCAACGAACGUGAACAAAUAGCCCGUUUGUUUGAAAAAGUAAGUUAGUUGAGCCCAUUUUUCUGGGGAAUGGGCAACUUUACUCAACAAACGCAACCUCUGCGUUUACAUGAACAAAUAGCAUGUUUGUUUGACAAAUUAAGUUAGUUUGGCCUAUUUUUUCGGGGAACGGGCAACUUUACUUAACAAACGCAACCCCUGCGUUUGCGUGAACAAAUAGCCCAUUUGUUUGAAAAAGUAAGUUCAUUGGGCCCAUUUUUCCAGGGAACAGACAACUUUACUCCACGAACGCAACCCAUUGCGUUCGUGUGAACAAAAAACCUGUUUGUUUGAAAAAGUAAGUUAGUUAGGCCAAUUUUUUCAGAGAACAAGCAACUUUACUCAACGAACGCAACCCCUGCGUUUACAUGAACAAAUAGCCCGUUUGUUUGAAAAAGUAAGUUAGUUUGACCAUUUUUUCAAGAAAUGUGAAACUUUACUCAACGAACGCAACCCCUGCAUUCACGUGAACAAAUAGCCUGUUUUCUUGAAAAAGUAAGUUAGUUGGGCCUAUUUUUCCGGAGAACGGACAACUUUACUCAACGAACGCAACCCAUUGCAUUCGCGUGAACAAAUAGCCCGCUUGUUUAAAAAGUAAGUUAGUUGGGCCCAUUUUUCCGGGGAACGAGCAACUUCACUCAACGAACGCAACCCCUGCGUUUAUGUGAACAAAUAGCCAGUUUGUUUGAAAAAGUAAGUUAGUUUGGCCUAUUUUUCCGGGGAACGGGCAACUUUACUCAACGAAUGCAACCCCUGCGUUCACAUGAACAAAUAGCCUGUUUAUUUGAAAAAGUAAGUUAGUUGGGUCCAUUUUUCAAGGGAACGGACAACUUUACUCAACGAACGUAACUCCUGCGUUCGCAUGAACAAAUAGCCCAUUUGUUUGAAAAAGUAAGUUAGUUUGGCCCAUUUUUUCGGGGAACGGGCAACUUUACUCGACGAACACAACUCCUGCGUUUACGUGAACAAAUAGCCCGUUUGUUUGAAAAAGUAAGUUAGUUUGGCCCAUUUUUUAGAAGAACGAGCAAAUUUACUCACUGAAUGCAACCCCUGCGUUUACGUGAACAAAUAGCCCGUUUGUUUGAAAAAGUAAGUUGGUUGGGUAUAUUUUUUCAGCGAACAGAAAACUUUCUUCAACGAACGCACAUGUUGCGUUGGUGUAAAAAAAUACCCCGUUUGUUUGAAAAAGUAAGGUGGUUGAGGCAUGCUUUCGGCGAACGGGUAAUUUUUCUCCAGGAACGCACGUAUUGCGUUGGUUUGAACAAAUACCCUGUUGGUUUAAAAAAGUAACUAUAUUGGCCUUCUUUUUCGGCGGAAUGUCGAGUAUUUUUGAACGAAAGCAAACCCUUACGUUCAUUUGAACAAACUCCCCGUUUGUUUGAAAAAGUAAGUUGGUUGGGCCCAUUUUACAGGAAAUGGAUAACUUUACUAAACGAACGCAACCCUUGCGUUCACUAGAACAAACACCUCGUUUGUUUGAAAAAGUAAGUUGGUUGGAUAUAUUUUUUCGGCGAAUAGAAAACUUUGCUCAACGAACUCACCUGUUGCGUUGGUGUGAAAAAAUACCUCGUUUGUUUGAAAAAGUAAGGUGGUUGGGGCAUGUUUUCGACGAACUAUUCUCAAGUAACGCACAUAUUGCGUUCGUGUGAAUAAAUACCAUGUUGGUUUGAACAAGUAAGAUUGUUGGCCCUCUUUUUUGGGGGAACGUCGAGUAUUUCUGAACGAAAGCAAACCCUUGCGUUCGAUUGAACAAACUACCAGUUUGUUUGCAAAAGUAAGUUAGUUGGGCCCAUUUUUGGGGGAACGGGUAACUUUACUGAACGAACGCAACCCUUGCAUUCGCUAGAACAAACACCGCGUUUGUUUAAAAAAGUAAGGUGGUUGGGGAUAUUUUAUCGGCGAACGGGUAACGUUUCUCAACGAAUGUAAUCCUUUCGUUUGUGUGAACAAAACCCUCGUUUGUUUGAAAACGUUAGUUGGUUGAGUUAAUUUUUCCGGGUAAACGUUGCGUUAACAUUUUAAACCCUCCAUUAUAUUAUAAAGGGGCAUUUGAGUGACUGCCUCUUUGACUCUAUCCAUUACAAAUGCAUGGCUUCCUCUUAAACCAACCUUACGUUGUCAAAAACCCAAAACAGCAAGGUUGGGAUCCAAAUGAUCCCAAAGUUCAUGUUACGACUAACUUCUGUAACCAUAUUCCGCAUGAUUUACAUCCAUGUGGACUUUGCAAGGAUCUUUUAAUAUGUUCGGCUUAUUGCCCCUUACCGUUUCUCGUGCUCUGUAUUUCGGUUCAUUUCGCCCUUCGAUUUAUAGUUCAAAAAAUAUGUCUAAUUAUGCAUGUACAAAAAAAUAUGAUACAUUUUUCCUUAUUAGGGGUUUGCGCACAGUCACUCUUGCAUUGCAUCAUCGUCAUGCAAUUGCAUUUGUGAAAUGCAAAUGCAAACCGGCUGUGUGCAAACUAAACAUACCUUAAAAAUGCAAACCUAAUUAAUGUAUAGCAUAAAGACAAAGAAAACCCAGCAAAUACUUUAUUAUGACCAUAUGCCUAUUAUUCAAUAUUAGGGUUAAUCACAUUGUGUUUUACGAAAUUCGGGAUCUUUUGGAAAAUCAUUUGUGCUACAUAACAAUGUCCAUUACUACGUGAUUUCGAUAAUAGGCCCAUUUUUUCCGAUGAACGAGCAACUUUACUCAACCAACGCAACCCUUGUAUUCGCAUGAACAAAUAGUCUGUUUGUUUGAAAAAGUAAGUUAGUUUGGUCUAUUUUUCCGGGGAACAUGCAACUUUACUCAAUGAACGCAACCUCUGCGUUUGCAUGAACAAAUAGUCCGUUUGUUUAAAAAAGUAAGUUAGUUUGGUCCAUUUUUCUGAAGAACGAGGAAUGGGCAACUUUACUCAAUGAACGCAACCCCUGCGUUCGCAUGAACAAAUAGCCCAUUUAUUUGAAAAAGUAAGUUAGUUGGGUCCAAUUUCCCGGGAAACGACCAACUUUAUUCAACGAACGCACCCCCUGCGUUCAAGUGAAAAAAUAGCGCGUUUGUUUGAUAAAAUAUUUUAGUUAGUCCAAUUUCUCGCGAAACGACGAGCUUUACUCACCGAGCUCUCCCCUUGCGUCUUCGAAGUAAAAUACAUUUUUUGUUGAGUAAAUCAAGGAGUUCGUUGGGUAAUUUGGUCAACAAACAACAUUAUUUACCCAACGAACGAGUCGCUUAGCGUUCUUUAGGUAGGUUUGUUGGGCAUAAAUUACUGAAUAUAACUUUCAUGAUUUACUACUAAUUUAACCCAAUGAAGUAUUGAGAAUAAAAUUGAACUUUGUUGAUUAUCUCCAAUUAUUCCUAUAUUGUUAGUUAAAAAAAAAUUCAAUAAAAUCAAACAUAUGAUUGUUGGUACAAAUAUAAAUUUAAAAGCUUUCAACAAAAAUUAUUACUUAAUGGUCGAUUGAUUGAGUCACAUUGAAUUGACAAAAAAGAAAAUUGGACUUUUUCAAUUAUGAUCAAUGCCCAAUUGAUAAUAUAUGACCACGAAGUGAAGUGGAAAUAUGAGAAGUCUUCUUAUAUCCAAUCUCAUUACUUAGCCCACAUACGAAUCAUAUUCCAAGGAUUGUUGUGCUGUUAUGAUUGUAGACUAAAUAACAUAGAUGAAAACAACGAUUUUGCUCAUAAAUGAUGGUGAAAUAUCCAAAAAAGAACGCAAUAUCACAUGCUUGGCUUUAAGGCAUAUAUUUAAUAUCCUUUCAUAUUAUUUUAUUUUACAUAAUUCAAUUAUGUAAAACGUAUGAAAUGAUCAAUGUGCCCUCAUAUUUAAUGACAGAUUGGACGAAAUGUUAGGGAAUUAAACGGCAGGGGAGACAUUGGCGAUAAAGAAAAUUCAUAUCCGUAAUAUUAUAAAAAAAAUGUCAUGCGAUAAAUUGAAAAUUGGAUACAAGUUCAAGGACUAAAUCAACAAUUUAACCAUGUUAAUGGUUUUGUGGGCAUAUAUCGCAUAUUUGAUAGCACGUGUGCAAUUCUUAAUUUACAGUAUCCAUAUGCAUAUGCCUGUAUGCAAUCUCGUAGCAUCUAUGUGCAAUCUCAUUUUACAAUAUGCAAUUGCAUAUAUAUACACGCAAUUUCAUAACGUCUGUUUGCAAUUAUUAGUUUACAAUAUGCAAUUGCAUUCCACCCUUCUUUUGGUUUUUAACUUUUUUCGUUCAUAUACUUGUAUGCAAUCUCGUAGCAUUUAUGUGCAAUUCUCAUUUUACAAUAUGCAAUUGCAUAUAUAUGUAUGCAAUUUCGUAACAUCUGUUUGUAAUUCUUAGUUUACAAUAUGCAAUUGCAUUCCGCCCUUCUUUUGGUUUUUAACUUCUUUCGUUUUUACUAGAUCUGGCUCACACUCUUAUAACGUAUGCAAAGAUCAUCAAAUUUCCUCUUUUUGGCUAGAGGGCCUCUUUUUUGUGUGUGUUCAUUUGCAUGACAAUAUGGAUAAUCUACUACUACCUAAAAGCUAUAGAAAAUUAUAUGUGAUAUCAUCUAUUUUCUCUGACCAAGACUACAUGUCACAUAAAUAAGAAAUAAGAUCUCAAAAAAGAAACAUAAACAAAGAAAACACUUCACCUAAAAUAUUUUGUAAUACGUUUAGCUCAAUUUAUAACUUGUAGAGUACACAAAUGUUAGCCCCUAAAUAUUAAGCUCUCAGAAGAAGGUGAGAAUCUCACCAAGUAUGCAUGAAAAGUCCAAGUGAGCAUACCCCUUUCUGCAAAUGAGAGGGAGGUAGAGAGAGAUUAUUCAAACACUGUGAUGGUAUCUCAAAACACAUAUUUCAAUGUAACAAAAAUGCACUUGUCUUAAUUGCUCUUUUCCUGAAUCCUUAGCCAGAGCAACCAAUAUAUAGCAGUUACGGUAAUCACAACAACCAAUAUCAAUCAUGGACAUCACAUUUAAACCAUACACUUACAGAUUUAGCAAUACAGUCUUUGAAAUGGUAAUGGCAACGCAAGACACUUCACCUAAAAUAAAAUAAAAAAUUCAUGUCUUCUUCUUUCUCGUGAACUCUUAUUUUUUCUUACCGAACAUACCAACAUUUAAAUUUAUCAAAUGAACGCAACAUACUCAACGAACGAAAGCUCAAUUGUUACUAGAUUGUUAAUGGGUAAAUAACUCAAUGAUAUAGCAUUCAAGUCAAACGUUUCUUUAAACAUCACACUAUUGCUAAUUGCAUACAGGGGGUCAAAAAUUGCAUAAACUGUAUGCAAUUACAAAAACUAUAUGCAAUUGCACAUAAGAAAUAAUAUAGCCAAAAAAAAAAAACCGGUUAUGAGGUUUCUCAGUUAAAGAACUCAUCUUUCUCUUUUGAUGCCAACCUCAGUUCUCCACUAACAAGCCCGAAAACUCCAAUUGGAUUCAUCAUAACCAGAGUUCUUGAGUAAUAAAACAAAUCUCAAAUUGAAAAAAAAAAAAAAAAAAGUAGGAAGAAAAUUCAAGAAUCCAAGACUUUAAAGAAAAUCAACAACCUGAUUGUUCAAAAUUUCAUACCUUAUUUUGAAGCACAAAUCCAUAACCUCAUACAUGGAAGAAAACAAAUCCUCCAUAAAACGAAAAUUACAUGGGUUUGAUGGAGAAAGGAUCAUAGUGGGUCUGAUGCUGUGAUGAAAUUAAGAGAAACUAUUAAAAUAUUAAAAUAUUAAAAAUUAUUAAAAGAUGGAAAAAAAAUCACCAAGAUUCAGUCCAAGGCGUUGAAUUUUUUCUCCCAUCAAAGGCUCUGCAACACAGACAUCUUCACUCCAGAUUCAAUACUAAGUCGUUGAAUUUCUACCCAAAUAAAGGCCUUUCACACCACCUCCGUCGAACUCAACUGAAUCACCCGACUCUGUCUCCUCUCCGAUGGUUCUUGCAUCGCGCCAUCGGCAGAGAGGAGAUGCUCAGAUUCCAACUUGGGGACAAAGAUGAGGAUUGGAUUUGAGAGAGUGAGAGAGAGAUAUUGCAAAGAUGAAGCAGCUCCCAGUGCACGCGACGUCUUCCUCGCGUUCGUCAAAGCUUUUUCGUUUGUUUUCUCAGUCACGUGUAUUUCACGUGCUCUUUAAUAAAGAAGGAGUGAACAAGUCAUCAGGUCAUUCAAUCUCAACCCUUAAUUUUUAAAAUGAAAUAUAAACCCUUAGAUGAUUGGUUGUACCGGUACAGCUGAGGCACCACAGAAUUUUCCUGCUUAUAGAGGCGAUCUGUGGUGGAUUUUCCAGUUGUCUUUGAUUUGCUUAUGCUUGAUUCAAUCGAGAGGUGUGAAGGAGUUAUUGUCUAAGUAUGCAGCUCGGGUGGCUUCGUUCGUGAGUGGAUACCACCGAGCCGACCAGAUAUGAUACCCAUGGUCUAGAGAUUUGAUCGGAACAGUUAGUCUGCUUAUUAGACUAUGACGGGUCAGGUCAGGUCAGUCCGUAGAGGUAUCCAACUGCUUGGUCACGUGGCACCAUACUAUUGGCUCGGUGAUAUGACGUGUCAACAACACGAUCACACCGAAAACAAAAUAGAAGAAGUUUUUUUGAGCUAAUAAUAUUCCGGAUAAACCAUAUUCUCUCAUUCUCCAACCUCUUGGAUUUGCUUGCUUGGAUUACCUCAUUGCUGGCUCAUGUGGCUUCAGUUGAGCCACAUUUAGUGCCAAAUCAAAUCGCAUCUUUGUCAUGCCUUUGGCCUUCGGAUCCACUAUGACCUAUUUUGCUCUUCUUUCAACAGUAGUCAUGUUUGAUCCAACCUUGGCUAAGGUUUGAUUCGGCCUAGCUAAAUUUGCAUUCACCAUGUUGGUCUGGGCAGAUGGGAAAGGGUCCUUGUUGAUUGGACUCUUGUCAUGCCCCAAUUCUAAAAUAAAGAAUAUUCUUGAAUCAGGAUACGUGAAUUGAACAAAAUAAAAUAAAAAGAUUGAAAAAUUGGUUAAAAUACAUUUCUCUUAUAUAAAAAUAAUAAUAAACUUACAAGUGCACAAGAUAUAAAUCUUAUUUAUUUAUUAUCUAACAUUGUUUAAUGCUAUUGACAGUGUGCUUAUGGAUGAGGAAGAGAAAGUUGUGCUUGACUGAUGAUUGACAGAAACUUUCGCAAGUAAAUCCUCUCUAGCAUUGCUCGUGCCGGAUGUGCAAUUGAGGAGAUGUAUGAGUUUAGUGUUGUGUGAUAGAGUGUAUAUUAAAGUGUAUCAAUGGUAUUUUUGGUAGUUAAAUAGGGUGUACUUAGUUAAUUUUAAAUAUUAGAGUGUACUUAGAUCAUGAGAGUAGUCAGUUAAGUUUAGAAUUCGUUUAACCACACUCUAUUAUUAUUAACAGUUUUCUGUCAAAACAAACCCUUAAGGUCCUUAACUAUUGGCUUGCAGCCACAUAUAAUUACUGUGGUGACCUUCUCGAAUCAUCAAUUUUUAUUCAUUUAAGUUGUUGAUCAACUGCCGCAGGCAAGUUAUUCUCCUGAACUCGAAUCCCAUCAAGUAAUUGUCUCAAUUCCGCAUGUAAACAAACAAAGGCUCACAAAACUCUCCAAAAUAUACGCAUUAAUUAAUUCUUUGCUUCUUUUCCCAUUAUAAGAAGAAGAAAGCCGUCUAAUUUGUUAAAGUAUAAGUGUUUUUAGCUGAGUGUGUUUUGUUUAAUUGUGAACCAUUGGAUCACAGUCCAAUGGACAGCUGAGAUGUAUUCUUAGUUUUAGUAGAAUUGUGCCAAGUGUAGCUAUCUCAUAGGAUAGCUUAAUCAGUGGUUAGAUUGGAUGAUGUAAGAGGAAUAUUCUAUUCCUAACGGUUAUAUUGUACUGCACAGCUUGUGCAUGACUAAGUAAGAGAGAUAACAGACUCAUUUUUCAUCUUCUUCUUCUCCAAGUUUUCUCUCUGUGUUUUCUCUUCCUACAUGAGCUCCAUCUACCAAUAAUCCAAAACCUAAAAACAGAUCAUAGUCUGUGAAUUCUAACAUGGUAUCAGCUGCCUGGUUGAUUAUUUAGCUGGGCAUUUGAAUCUGUGAAGGAAGGGAGCUGCGAUUUCUGACGAACUUACUUUCUUGGAGAUCUGUGUCUAACAUGGCCGGAUCUGGAGGUGGUGAGCUGCGAGCUCCGAUCUUCAAUGGUGAGAACUAUGAGUUCUGGAGCAUAAGGAUGAAAACCAUUUUCAAAUCUCAUGGGCUUUGGGAAUUGGUUGAGAAAGGAAUAGGAAGCUCAGAUUCGAAGGGAGAUGAUGAAUCUGAUGCAAAGCAGAAAGAAAAAGAGGAACUGAGUGGUGCUGGGAAGAUGGCUCUAGCUGAGAUCCUGAUGAAAGAUGCUAAGGCCUUGGGGUUGAUUCAAGGAGCUGUAUCUGAAGGGAUCUUCCCUAGGAUUUCUCAUGAAGAAUCAUCUCAUGGAGCUUGGAACAUUCUGAAGCAGGAAUUUCAUGGUGAUAAGCAGGUAAGGAGUGUAAAAUUACAGAGUCUUCGUAGAGAAUUUGAAUAUACUAGAAUGAGAGAGGAUGAAUCUCUAUCUGCUUAUCUUACCAAGUUGUUUGAUCUGAUAAAUCAAAUGAGAGGUUAUGGAGAAGAGUUAUCUAGAGAAAGAAUUGUGCAGAAAAUGUUAAUUAGCCUGCUGCCUGUGUAUGAUCCAAUCUGUUCUGUAAUUGAACACUCAAGGGAUCUAGAUGUAAUUGAGGUUCAAGAGGUGGUGGCCUCAUUGAAGAGCUUUGCUCAAAGACUGGAAAGACAUCAUGAGAACUCGACUGAGAAGGCCUUUGCUAGUCUGAGUGUGGAUUCCAAAUCAGCUAAGGCUACUGGAAAUCAGAACAACAAGCAGCAGAAGAAUUGGAAGGAUAAGGGGAAGAAGUGGGAUAAUAAACCUGCUGAUGGAACUAAAAAUCCUUGCAAACAUUGUGGGAAAUUGCAUUAUGGAGAAUGUAGAUUCAAGGGUAAACCGAAGUGCUAUAACUGUGACAAGCUUGGUCACAUUGCCAAAGACUGCUAUAGUAAGAAAACUGUGCACCAGCAGCAGCUUCAGUAUGCUACUCAGGUUACCACUACACCAACCAUGUUCUAUGUUAACAAUGCAACUGAGAAAAGGUCCAUGGAAGAGGUAUGGUACUUGGACAGUGGGUGUAGUAACCACAUGACUGGCAGAGAAGACAUCUUGAUUGAUAUUGAUAGGAAUGUGAUAGCAAAAGUUGGAAUGGGAACAGGACAGUUGGUUGAUGUUAUUGGAAAAGGAAGCUUGAUGGUUGAAACUAAAAUGGGAAGGAAAUAUAUCAAGGAGGUGCUGCUGGUAUCUGGUCUCAAAGAGAACCUACUUAGUGUAGGACAAAUGAUGGAACAUGGAUAUGUUCUAAUCUUUGGAGAUAACAAAGCAGAGGUUUAUGAUGAUAGCUCUCUCUCAAAUCUGGUGGCUAGAGUGCAUAUGAAAGGAAAUAGAAGUUUUCCUUUGAAACUUGACACAGACUUACAUGUUGCACUAACAGCAAGCAUAAGUCAAUCCACAUUGCUUUGGCAUAGGAGAAUGAGACACUUAAACUUCCAGAGUUUGAAACUGUUGCAGAAUGAAGACAUGGUGCUUGGUCUGCUAGAAAUUAAAAAUGCAAAUGCAGUGUGUGAAGGCUGUACUUUUGGAAAACAGUGCAGGAAGGCUUUUCCAAAAGAAGCAACCAGCAGAGUUACAACUCCACUGGAAUUGGUACACACUGAUGUGUGUGGCCCAAUGCAAACUGUUACAAAAGCAGGAAACAGGUAGUUCCUUACUUUUAUAGAUGAUUGUACACGAAUGUGCUGGAUCUAUUUCUUGAGAUGCAAAUCUGAGGUAUUCACAGUGUUUAAGAGGUUUAGAGCCACUGUUGAAUUGCAAAGUGGAUAUAAGGUGAAGAAGCUAAGAAGUGAUAGGGGAGGAGAGUACACCACUAAUGAGUUCAAUAAAUUCUGUGAUGAAAUGGGAAUGGAGAGGCAGCUUACAGUGGCAUACUCACCACAGCAGAAUGGUGUGGCUGAGAGGAAGAACAAAACCAUAGUGGAGAUGGCCAAGUGUAUGAUGUUUGAGAAGGGCAUGCCACUUGAGUUUUGGGCAGAAGCUUAAUACUGCAGUGUAUGUUCUAAACCGAAGUCCAACUAAAGCUUUGGACAAGAAAACACCAUUUGAAGCCUAUAGUGGGAGAAAGCCAGGACUUAAACACUUAAGAGUGUUUGGAUCUUUGUGCUAUGCACAUGUUCCAAACCCACAAAGGCAGAAACUAGAUUUAACAAGCAAAAUGUGUGUGUUUCUAGGAUAUGGCAGCUGUGAGAAGGGGUAUAGAUUGUAUAACAUUACCACUGAAAAGGUGAUUAUCUCAAGGGAUGUGGUAUUUAAUGAAGAUGCUCAUUGGGAUUGGAAUGCACAGCAAGAAUGCAGUGUUUCUGUGGCACUUCCUGAAUUUGUGACUGAAAAGGAGGAAGGGAGCAAUGACACAGUUGUGAAGCAAGCAGAACAUUCAGUUGAGAAUGAGGUGUUAUUCGAAGACAAUGAAGAAAGAUCUGUGAUUGACACAGGUACUCAAGAUAUUGACCACACCCCAUUGAAAUACAAAAGUCUUACAGAGAUCUAUGAAAGAUGCAACAUCUGUAUCAUUGAACCAGAAACCUAUGAAGAAGCUAUCAAGGAUGCAGCAUGGCAAAAGGCAAUGGAAACUGAACUUGAGAUGAUUGAGAAGAAUGAAACUUGGGAAUUGGUAAAAAGACCAUCUGAUAAACCUAUAGUUGGAGUCAAAUGGAUCUUUAAAGUCAAGCUAAAUCUGGAUGGAUCAGUUCAGAAAAACAAAGCAAGGCUAGUAGCUAAAGGCUACACUCAAAAGCCAGGAAUUGAUUUCAAUGAGACAUUUGCACCAGUUGCUCGGCUUGAUACAGUGAGAACACUAAUAGCUUUGGCUGCUCAGAAAAGAUGGAAGUUGUUUCAGCUUGAUGUAAAGUCAGCUUUCUUAAAUGGAGUGUUACAUGAGGAGGUGUAUGUGGAUCAACCUCCAGGAUUUGUGGUUAAAGACAAGGAAGACAGAGUUUAUAGACUCAAGAAGGCUCUUUAUGGUCUUAAAUAAGCUCCAAGAGCUUGGUAUGAAGAAAUUAAUUCAUAUUUUACAGCUGCAGGAUUUCAGAGGAGUCCUAGUGAGGCUACAUUAUAUGUGAAAGCUGCAGAAAGUGGAAUCCUAAUUGUUUCACUAUAUGUAGAUGAUAUCAUCUACACAGGAAGUUCUGAAGAAUUGGUAAUGAACUUUAAAACUGAAAUGAUGAAAAGAUAUGAAAUGACUGAUCUGGGAUUGUUGCACCAUUUUCUAGGAUUGGGUGUGAUACAAGCUGAGUCCUACAUCUUCUUGCAUCAGAAAAAAUAUGCAAGAACAUUGUUGGACAAGUUUGGUUUCAAAGACUGUAAAGUAGUGUCAACUCCACUAGCUAUGAAUGAGAAAUUAUCCAAGGAGGAUGGAAGUGAACAGGCUGAUGAAAACGUGUACAGACAGAUAGUUGGAAGCUUGCUAUAUCUGACAGCAACAAGGCCAAAUGUCAUGUUUGCUGCAAGUCUUUUGGCUAGAUAUAUGCAUGGACCUACAAAGAAACACAUGGGAACUGCCAAGUGAGUACUUAGAUACAUUCAAGGUACUCUAGACUAUGGCAUAUUAUAUGAGAAAGGAAAAGAGACAAUGCUGGUUGGAUAUUGUGACAGUGAUUGGUUAGGUUGUGAAGAUGAUAUGAGGAGUACUUCUGGCUAUGCUUUUCAUCUUGGAUCAGGUGUUUUCUCUUGGGCAUCUAUUAAGCAGAGCAGUGUAGCACUAUCUACUACAGAGGCAGAAUAUGUUAGUACAGCUGAAGCUACAGCUCAAGCUGUUUGGUUAAGAUUUGUUCUAUCUGAUUUUGGUGAGGAACAAGUUGAGGCUACUCCAAUCCUAUGUGACAAUACUUCAGCAAUUGCAAUAACAAAGAAUCCUGUGCAUCAUCACAGGACAAGACAUAUAAGUAGAAGAUUUCAUUUCAUUCGUGAUGCUUUGCAAAAUGGUGAGAUUGAUCUAUUAUACUGCAGAACUGGAGAGCAGAAUGCAGAUAUCUUUACUAAGGCAUUAGCAAGGGAUCGGUUUGAAUAUCUAAGGGGCAAGCUUGGAGUCAUCUCAGCUAAACACUUAGAAGGGAGUGUUAAAGUAUAUAUAAGUGUUUUUAGCUAAGUGUGUUUUGUUUAAUUGUGAACCAUUGGAUCACAGUCCAAUGGACAGCUGAGAUGUAUUCUUAGUUUUAGUAGAAUUGUGCCAAGUGUAGCUAUCUCAUAGGAUAGCUUAAUCAAUGGUUAGAUUGGAUGAUGUAAGAGGAAUAUUCUAUUCCUAACGGUUAUAUUGUACUGCACAGCUUGUGCAUGACUAAGUAAGAGAGAUAACAGACUCAUUUUUCAUCUUCUUCUUCUCCAAGUUUUCUCUCUGUGUUUUCUCUUCCUACAUGAGCUCCAUCUACCAAUAAUCCAAAACCUAAAAACAGAUCAUAGUUUGUGAAUUCUAACAUAAUUCAUCAUCACCAACACAAGCAAACUCAACAUCAACAAUGUCGACAAAGUCUAGCAUUACCGUCCUUGCCUUUGCCUUUUGUUUCUUGUCCCUCCUCAGUUUUGCUUACUCCAACACCACCGACGACAAAAUCUACCUCACCGGCCUGGUCUACUGUGACAACUGCCAAUUGAAGUCUAUGACCGAGAUGAGUAAGAUGAUUCCAGGU